GACGAACGCUGGCGGCGUGCUUAACACAUGCAAGUCGUACGGUAAGGCCCUUUCGGGGGUACACGAGUGGCGAACGGGUGAGUAACACGUGAGUAACCUGCCCACAACUUUGGGAUAACGCUAGGAAACUGGUGCUAAUACUGGAUAUGUGCUCCUGCUGCAUGGUGGGGGUUGGAAAGCUCCGGCGGUUGUGGAUGGACUCGCGGCCUAUCAGCUUGUUGGUGGGGUAGUGGCCUACCAAGGCGGCGACGGGUAGCCGGCCUGAGAGGGUGACCGGCCACAUUGGGACUGAGAUACGGCCCAGACUCCUACGGGAGGCAGCAGUGGGGAAGAUUGCACAAUGGGCGCAAGCCUGAUGCAGCAACGCCGCGUGCGGGAUGACGGCCUUCGGGUUGGAAACCGCUUUCAGCAGGGACGAAGCUUUUUGUGACGGUACCUGCAGAAGAAGCACCGGCUAACUACGUG
rnacentral:rRNA from 1 species